CACACACCAAGUAAGAGUUAUGCACCAUAGGAGACCUAUACAGGAGGCACCGAAAGACGGUGCCAUUAGAUCUGCUGCACAUCAAGAGAGAGACCUACUGUAGCAAGUGCCUCUCCUUCUUCAAUAUCACCAGAUCCUGAAAGCCCAUAGCUACACCGCACAGCCCCUUGAGCAAUUUAAAAUGUAAACUAUAUUAAGUGUCCCACUGGCAAGAUUUGAUGGCGUAUUGGAAUAGUUUCCUCACCCAGUUUCAGCAAGAGUUUUGAAGACAGGAACCAGAACAGAGUGUGGUCAUACAUGAAGAGUCAGGAGAAGUGCAGCACCAAAAGAUGCAGCAAUACUCAUGCUAAUAUUAUAGA